UCUGCAGCGUUUGCUGAUUUCCAAGAGCCACUCUGGAGCUAUCGAGCAGUUCGCAAGCUGCUCGCGUCCUGGGAACACAGUGUUCCAGUCGUGCUCCCUGGAGAUCAUGCAGUUGGGAAUUCUCUGACUGUAAAGCGGACCUUCACAGAGCCACGAUCAAGAUGCAGAACUCUCAGCUUCUUCAGCACCAUGUCU